GUGCAAGGAGAGAUAACUACUACAGAGCUUGGUUGAUUUUUCGAGGCAGAGAAAAAAAGAGCGCUUGGUUGUUCUGGAAGAUUAGACAUGGCCUCGAAUGCUAAGGCACGUGGUGUGCUUGUGUGUAUCCAAAUCAUGCUACUAAUCUCCGUGCUGACUAUAGGCAGCGGCCGCACCUGCGAAGGCUGGCGAAGUAAGUGCGAAUAUAUACACGUCUAGUUGUGUUAUAGUAUAUUCAUUACUCCCUCCGUUUAGGUGUGUAAGUCAUUUUACGAAAACAAAAUAAUCCCAAAACACUUAGGCGUGAUACAUUAACUUCUACCUCGUUUCUUGUUUUUUGACAUAUCAACCAAUAAGAGAUGAGGGGUGCGCAUGUUUUUAGUGACUUGAGGCUACCAAACACGACAUGCAGUGGUUAGUUCAUUGCAUGCAAUGCUAUUAAUUAGCAAAUAAACAUUAAAAUCUCUCUUUUUCUCUCUUCCUUGGUCACGUGCACAACCUAAGACGACUUACUCACCUAGACGGAGGGAGUACUGCCUUUUCGGGACAACUUCGUCUGAAUUAUUUAAUAUGACUCCAUUCAUUUCUGUCAGUUGAUUAUAAAUAAAUAUUGUUCCGUGCCGCUCAAUCUUGGAACUUGUCUUUCAUUGCAGUUCUGCUUCCAUUCAUUGGCGAGGAGAAGCCACCCAUAGCACUUAAACCUUCUCCUAAAGCAGAUGGCCUGUGCGAUCCAUUUCCCGACUGCCACACUAAGGGUUACCCCUGUUGCCAUUCUCUGAAACCGACGCCUUAAGCAACAGCACUGAAGAUGACCGAUACUGGAUCGAGAUGAAUGCACCUCCGUAUGUUGAUAUAUAGUAUCACCAGUAGUAAACAAAGGUUAUAAUGAUAGUAAUACAAAUUGGAGUUGCACUAUCAAUUCGAGCUCCUAUAUAUUUUGUGGGAUUUUCUAUAGAUAAAGCCGGACUGCUAUUGAAUAAGAUACUCCCCAGGCACUCUCUGAACUGGCCAAACUUAUAAGGCACGUUUCGAAUUUUUAUAUGGCAUGUAUUUGCAGGGUUUUUUUUUACGUAUUAAGCACGGCCAAAGCUCCACCACAUAUGUACUUGUUGCUUGAUACAUAUGGAAGCUGUUCCCUGAUCUAUAUUUAGGUAUAAAUAAAUAUACAAGACUAUUACACAUACUAGAAAC
rnacentral:lncRNA from 1 species